rnacentral:rRNA from 16 species
ACGGGUGAGUAACGCGUGGGAAUGUGCCCUUCUGUUGAGGAUAGCCCCGGGAAACUGGGAGUAAUACUCGAUACGCCCUACGGGGGAAGGAAGGAUCAGCCCGCGUCUGAUUAGGUAGUUGGUGGGGUAAUGGCCUACCAAGUCUACGAUCUAUAGCUGGUUUGAGAGGAUGAUCAGCAACACUGGGACUGAGACACGGCCC